rnacentral:tRNA from 1 species
CUAAGGAUAAGGAACUGCGCAUUGGUCUUGUUUAGUCUUGAGAGGUCUUGUGGGGCCUUAGCUCAGCUGGGAGAGCGCCUGCUUUGCACGCAGGAGGUCAGCGGUUCGAUCCCGCUAGGCUCCA